rnacentral:tRNA from 1 species
GGUGGGGUACCGAAGCGGUCAAACGGGGCAGACUGUAAAUCUGCUGGCAAUGCCUUCGGAGGUUCGAAUCCUCCCCCCACCA